rnacentral:tRNA from 1 species
GGUGGCUCAGUGGUAGAGUGCUUGCCUUGCAUGCAUCAGGUCCUGGGUUCGAUUCCUUAGCACCA